CUGCCCAUUUUUCUUUGACAUGUUCAGAUGUUGGCAAGGCUGAAAACUGCAGGGGAUCUGGUUGUGAUAAUCCAGGUACAUGCCCCAAGGAAAUGAGGCUACAUGAGGACACAGCAAGAAGGUGGCUGUCUGCAAGCCAGAAAGAGAGCCCUCCCCAGAGACUGAACCAGCUAGAACCAUGAUCUUGGACUUCCAGCCUCCAGAACUGUUAUUCUAGGUCGACUUCCGUGUCUGGAUGUAACCAAAUCACCAGCCAGACCGUGACCAGGACACAUCAUACCGCUUGCCCCCGGCAGAGAUCCUGUGCCCACAUGUGAUAAGAUGCAACGAUCUCAUUCAAACUCUGUCUUGUCCUGCUAGUCCUGCUAGCCCUGCUAAACCACUUGAGCCCCUGGAGUCUCUUCCUCCCUGGAGCUUCUACAGCAUUCCUAUCUGGACCAUUCGCCAGGUGGUUAACACUGGAAACAAAAACUAUGUUGUUUGCUGGUUUGGAUUUCUUACAGCUCCCAGGAGACCACAAGCUACUUGGAGGUAGGACCAAGUG
rnacentral:lncRNA from 1 species